GACCUCUCAUCUAUUGUCAUCACAGGGGAGAUAACGGCUGCCAACCAAGCCCAAAACUUGAUUGUUAAAGGGUUAUAUGAUGGCAAUACAGAUUAGAUGCUUAAAUGCCCUGUGCUAAAAUCAGAUCCAUCAGAGAAUUGAGGACACAGAACAUACCACCACCUGGAAAACUAGAGAGAGAGGACAAUAUAAGAAUCACAACUUACCAGGAGCUGCAGCAGACAGAGCCUAACCAGAAGCCAGAGAACAUGGAAAAUCAAUGAUGCAUCCUGUCUGUCAGACUCCUGGGCGCAGAGCAGG